rnacentral:rRNA from 1 species
CAUCUUGCUAUUUUCGCUCGAGGAUGGGACUGCGGCCGAUCAGGCUGUUGGUGGGGUAAAGGCCCACCAAACCAGUAACCGGUACGGGCUUUGAGAGAAGGAGCCCGGAGAUGGACACUGAGACAAGGGUCCAGGUCCUACGGGGCGCAGCAGGCGCGAAACCUUCGCAAUGCGCGCAAGCGCGACGAGGUUAUUCUGAGUGAUUUCCGCUGAGGAAAUCUUUUCCUAGAUCUAAAAAGUCUGGGGAAUAAGGGGAGGGCAAGUCUGGUGUCAGCCGCCGCGGUAAUACCAGCUCCUCGAGUGGUCAGGGCGUUUAUUGGGCCUAAAGCAUCCGUAGCCUGCUCAGUAGGUCUCCUGUUAAAUCCAACGGCUCAACCGUUGGUCUGCAGGAGAUACCGCUGGGCUAGGAGGCGGGAGAGGCGGACGGUACUCCGAGGGUAGGGGUAAAAUCCUUUGAUCCCCGGAAGACCACCAG